rnacentral:piRNA from 1 species
UCUAAAGGUCCAGCACUUUGUCAGGUCAGU